rnacentral:tRNA from 1 species
GUUUUUUUAGUAUAGUUUAGUAUAUGUGACUUCCAAUUACAAGGGCUAGAAAAGUAGCUAGAAAAAACA